AGUCCCUCUGCAUGUGCAGAGAAAGUUUUUUUUUCUAAAUUUAUUUUUUUAGUAGAUCUCAACAUCCAAUAACUUUUUUAAAAUAAUAUAAAUUUUAUUUUUUAAAAAUAAUUAGGUAGGGUCCCAUGAAAUUUAUUUCAAAUUUUUUCUUUGUAAUUUUUUAAUCUUAAAAGCGACUGAAUUAGGAGAUCGCUUGCGAUUGUGGAUUGAGUGAAACUUGGCCUUUCUAAAUCCGCUGAUUAGGAUACGUUUCCCACAACUAUUGAGGUUUUGAUAGAAAAGCAACAGGAAAGCCGGGGGCAUGCAGUUGCGCCUCCCACGCUGUUCUUGCCAGAAAAAGGAGCUUGGAGCCAAACAGUUCAAAGAAAAUUUCUCCUGAAGUAGUUAAGAAUGACGCAUGAGAUGGCGUGCCGGUGACACUAUAAACACAGGAGUUUUUUUCCCCUCUC
rnacentral:lncRNA from 1 species